UAAGAGUAGGCAGGGACCAGUCCUACUUUCUGGCCGAGAAAACUGUACAGAAAGUAGACAUUCAACUACCUCACGCAGGCUCAUGGCUAAAACCAGUUUCACCAAGGGAAGAUACAAGGAAUUCUUCAGUCUGGGAUAAAAUGCACCGUCCAAAUCUGGGGACACCAAGACAAGAUUCCAGGAAAGCCGUGAGAAAGAGAUCUAGUCCAGGCAGAUUCAGAGUAGUAACUGGCUGAAAGACACUUUGCGUCCCUAAACUAAUUCCUCGUCUGCAAACAGAUACAACAAUGACUCCUGCCUCUCAAAAUGUGUGAAGCUCUAACGAGAUAGCCGUAAAAGAACUUUAAGAGGCGCACGGAGCGGGAUAGGCUCAAGUUACUUAAACUAUACUUGUGUUAGGAGGAGCGCAAGUGGGAGACUCGCGAACAUUACCUUGACUAGCCACACUCCUGUGUUCUGUUUGGCGCCGGUCAAGUCGAGUUCCCCGCGCUCGGCCAUGGGUCUGCAGCCGGUGGAGGCGUGCGGGAUGCAGCAGCGACCCCAGGAGCCGCAGGGCUGAGGAGCGGGCGUCCGGAACAAAGGACAAGCCGCGCUGAGAGGCGAAGAGCCGGCGUUCCUUACCUGCCAGAACACUGGGAACCGAGGAAAAGAGGAACACGCCGCCAGGAGCCGGGACUGCGCCUGCGCACUGCUACAAUAAAGUUCAAUCCUCCUGCUUCAACUGGGCCCUCUCAAUUUCAUCUCUUU
rnacentral:lncRNA from 10 species